CACGUAGGAGGCAAGCGUUAUUCGGAUUUACUGGGCGUAAAGCGCGUGCAGGCGGUUUGGAAAGUUGGAUGUGAAAGCUCCUGGCUCAACUGGGAGAGGUCGUUCAGAACUUCCAGACUUGAGAGUGGUAGAGGGAGGUGGAAUUCCGGGUGUAGUGGUGAAAUGCGUAGAUAUCCGGAGGAACACCAGUGGCGAAAGCGGCCUCCUGGACCACUUCUGACGCUCAGACGCGAAAGCUAGGGUAGCAAACGGG
rnacentral:rRNA from 1 species